UUCUUCAUUCCUUCUAUUACAGAGAAAGUCCCUUCUCUGAUUCGAUUCACCUGUGCUUUCACAUUCCUAUUUGUCUUAAACUUACUCUAAAUGGCCACGUUGCAGAGCCUGAUUGGUCUCAUCAAUAAGAUUCAACGCGCCUGCACUGUUCUUGGCGAUCAUGGCGGCGAAGGCAUGUCCCUCUGGGAAGCUCUCCCUUCUGUUGCUGUUGGUGGUGGCCAGCUUUAGAGUUCUGGGAAAUCUUCUGUUCUGGAAAGCGUUGUUGGGAUGGAUUUCUUGCCCCGUCGAUCUGGUAUUGUCACAAGGAGGCCGUUAGCGUUGCAACUUCAUAAGACUGAGGGGGGAUCUGAAUAUGCGGUGUUUCUUCACGCUCCAAAGAAGAGGUUCACUGAUUUUGUUGUUAACCUAACCCACAAAGGUUGCUGUAGGUAAUUUCUAGAGCAGUAUAUUCAAAUAUGAAAGAGGGCCAGUCUGAUAGUUUUGUUGAAGAUAUUGAAAACAUGGUUCGCUCUUAUGUUGAGAAGGUACCUGGUGUCAAGUUCUGGUAAGCGGCUUGGAAGCUACUGUGUUGAUGUAUAUGGUAUUGUCACAAUGGCUAGACGGAAGCAGAUACAAGAGCAAUAAAACAAAUAGUUGUAAGGAAAGUUGUAUUAAAACAGAAUGAUAAAUUGAGAUUUUUGAGUGUAUCCGAAACACUAAUAAUAAUAAUAUCAACGAAAUCCGAAUAUACUUUUGUUUU